rnacentral:tRNA from 3 species
GAGAAAACUCGCAAGGAUUGCUAACCCACGCUCCCGUACCUAAAACUACGGUUUUCUCA